rnacentral:rRNA from 1 species
GACGAACGCUGGCGGCGGGCUUAACACAUGCAGGUCGAACGGAAAGGCCCUGCUUUGGUGGGGUGCUCGAUUGGCGAACGGGUUAUUAACACGUGAGUAACCUGCCCUUGAGUUUGGGAUAACUUCAGGAAACUGGGGCUAAUAGCGGAUAGUAGCUCCUGCUGCAAGGAGGGGGCUGGAAAGUUUCGGCGGUGGGGGGUGGACUCGUGGCUUAUCAGCGUGUUGGUGGGGUAGUGGCAUACCAAGGCUUCGACGGGUAGCCGGCCUGAGAGGGUGACCGGCCACAUUGGGACUGAGAUACGGCACAGACUACUACGCGAGGCAGCAGUGGAGAAGAUUGCACAAUGGGAGGAAGCCUACUGCGGUCACGCCGCGCGGGGGGAGACGGCAUUCCGGUAGUAAACCGCUUUCGUCUGUGAUGAAGCGUGAGUGACGGUAAUAGGUAAAGAAGCACCGGCUAACUACGUG